UUUCCAGGAAGCUAUAUUUUGAUAUAGCAGAGUCAGUGACCAAAGUGGACAAAUUACAGAAACAUUAAUUAAUUUGUUUUGUGAUCCUCAUGAGUUCCUGAAGGAACACAUAAAAGGAAGCGAUCUAGAGUUUCAGCGGAUACAAAUAUUUCGUGCUGGCUACAAAGAAGAAGUGACAGGUUUGAAAUAAAGUGAUUGUGACUGAUGUCAUCUAGCCAGUCAAGCAGCAAGUGAACAUCACAAUUGGAGCUAACAAAGAGAUCUCAAAACAAAGAGAUGAAGCAGUUGAUAAGAGAGGACCAGUGGAGAAGAGAACUGUUCUUCACUAGGCUUUACAAUAUUUCUGUUAAGAAAGAAAAGAACAUGGCUCUUUUUCCUUUUUACAUCUUUCAUCAAGCAUUCUACCACACAGAAUUCUGCCACUUUGUUAUCUGGCUAAUAGUAUUCUGGAAAAUAUACACAUUUUGUUGUACACUAAUUUCUCUUUGCAUCAAAGAGUAAUGAAUGCCAUUGCCAUGGGAUGAUUUCCUAUGAGCUUAUAUGGGAGUCAUGCAGGCCCUGUACCCAAGGAGGUGAAUUUCAUAUAGAACUAUCACAGCUAUGCUUUGAUGGUGAUGUUCACCUCUCCCACACAAAGCCAUACUAAUCCUUUCUAAGCAGAGGUCGGGAAUGGCAUCCACCCUCUGCCCGCAGGGCUGCAGUACAGUCUUUCUAUAGCCACUCCCUGAGCUGCAUGAGUUCCCAGCCACUGGAUAAAUAUGGAUCCAGCAGCCCCCUUUCUGUCCUACUCCUAAUGUUCCCUUCUACAUCAAGUGUCAUGGAGCUCACUUCCCACUGCAUGCAUGGGGUAUGGAGGCCCAUCUGCAGAAGCUACUCUUCCCAAGGCAUACACCCUCCUGUCCCUGCCAGGGCUUCUGUGCCAUUGAGGACCCUGCAUGAGUUCCUUGGUAAAUCUACAGGAGGGUGAUGAGUGCUCUCAAUUUCCACUGACAUUGAUUUCACCCUUACAGUCCAUCUAGAUGAUGGGGAAAAAAGACACUUUUAAAAAUUGAGUUAAUAAUUGUUUCAAAUUAUGUUAGUUAAGGUGUAAACUGUCUAUACAAGGUCUUAAGGGAUGUUUCAAAUCAUGUUACGUAACAAUUUAAAAAGCACGUUUCUUUUGUAAUUUAGCAGACCCUUAGAGACUAGUGAGGCUUGUAGUUUCUGUUUCUCUAUCCCAAUAGAUCACAAAUCAAGCUUUAAAGGUGACAUGCAAAAUGGUAACUUUGGGCUUCUUCCCUCUUAUAUACAUAUAACAUAUAAAGGCUUCCCCCUCAAAAGUUGACUUUCUGCUUUUCAGUAUCAGCAAGUCAAGUCUCUAUGGAU